AUGGCAGUAGUUCUUCAAUUUGCAAACAUAGAAGGGGUGAUAAGAGAACAUUUUCUUGAUCUUGUUCAUGUUAGAGACACUAGUGCUUUGACUCUCAAGAACACAAUUAUUGCCGUCCUAGUUGAUAAUGGGUUGAAUGUGCAAGAUAUUAUAGGCCAGGGAUAUGACGGGGCAAGCAACAUGAGGGGGGAGUGGAAUGGGCUGAAAGCUCUAAUUCUCAAUGAGUGCCCUUAUGCAUAUUAUAUCCAUUGUCUUGCACAUCAACUCCAAUUGGCUCUUGUUGCUGCUUCAAGGGAGGUACAUGAGGUCCAUAAUCUUUUUCAGCAUGCAAAUUUCAUUGUAAAUACUAUUAGUGCAUCUCCCAAACGCAAUGAUGAGCUAUUAGAAAAUCAGGCUACUGAAAUUGCUAGAGAGAUUGAAUUGGGAGAGCUUGACCCGGGAAGAGGGGCCAAUCAAAUAGGAUCUUUACAAAGGGCCGGAGACACGAGAUGGAGUUCCCACUACAAAUCUAUCAAAAGUUUGUUAAAGAUGUUUGCCGCAACUGUUAUAGUGCUAAGAAGUGUAGCAGCUGAUCGUUCAGCUACAAGGAACUCAAGAGGUGAUGCUGGAGGUUCCCUGAAAAUCCUACUCACAUUUGAUUUUGUGUUCAUUCAACACUUAAUGGAAAGAAUCAUGAAAAUCAUGGAUGUCUUGUGUCUCAAACUUCAACAUAAAUCUUUGGACAUUGCAAAUGCAUUAGAUUGUGUUUCUAACACAAAGGUGUUGCUUGGUGAACUAAGGGAAGAUGGAUGGGACAGCCUUUUUGAAGAUGUGAAAUCCUUUUGUGUGAAACAUGAGAUUGACAUCCCAGACAUGGAUCAAAAGUAUGUUGAUGUGACAAAAUCUCGAAAUAAGCAUGACAACACCACAGUUAUCCAUCAUUACAAAGUAGAUGUGUUUAAUGUUGCAAUAGAUCAACAAGUGAUAGAGUUGAAUGAUUGA
rnacentral:rRNA from 1 species